rnacentral:tRNA from 1 species
GAAGGGCCAUAGUUCAGUGGUAGAGCAUCUGCUUGGCAUACAGAAGGUCACAGGUUCAAUCCCUGGCAUCUUCA